GACGUAGGGCGCGAGCGUUGUCCGGAUUUAUUGGGGCGUAAAAGAGCUCGUAGGCGGCCUGUUGCGUCCGCUGUGAAAAGCCCGGGGCUUAACCCCCGGGUCGGCAGUGGAUACGGGCAGGCUAGAGUUCGGUAGGGGGGACUGGAAUUCCUGGUGUAGCGGUGAAAAUGCGCAGAUAUCAGGAGGAACACCGAUGGCGAAGGCAGGUCUCUGGGCCGAUACUGACGCUGAGGAGCGAAAGCGUGGGGAGCGAACAGG
rnacentral:rRNA from 1 species